CGGGAGGCAGCAGUAGGGAAUAUUGGUCAAUGGGCGAAAGCCUGAACCAGCCAUGCCGCGUGCAGGAUGAAGGCCCUCUGGGUCGUAAACUGCUUUUAUAUGGGAACAAAAAACCCCUGCGGGGCACCUUGACGGUACCUAACCAGAAAGCCACGGCUAACUACGUGCCAGCAGCCGCGGUAAUACGUAGGUGGCAAGCGUUAUCCGGAAUUAUUGGGCGUAAAGCGCGCGCAGGUGGUUUCUUAAGUCUGAUGUGAAAGCCCACGGCUCAACCGUGGAGGGUCAUUGGAAACUGGGAGACUUGAGUGCAGAAGAGGAAAGUGGAAUUCCAUGUGUAGCGGUGAAAUGCGUAGAGAUAUGGAGGAACACCAGUGGCGAAGGCGACUUUCUGGUCUGCAACUGACACUGAGGCGCGAAAGCGUGGGGAGCAAACAGGAUUAGAUACCCUGGUAGUCCACGCCGUAAACGAUGAGUGCUAAGUGUUAGAGGGUUUCCGCCCUUUAGUGCUGAAGUUAACGCAUUAAGCACUCCGCCUGGGGAGUACGGCCGCAAGGCUGAAACUCAAAGGAAUUG
rnacentral:rRNA from 1 species